rnacentral:rRNA from 1 species
CGGUUGAUCCUGCCGGAGGCCACUGCUAUUGGGAUCCGACUAAGCCAUGCAAGUCGAGAGGGUUGGGCCCUCGGCAUACCGCUCAGUAACCCGUGGAUAAUCUGCCCUUAGGUGGAGGAUAAUCUCGGGGAAACUGAGAAUAAUACUCCAUUAGGUCUAGGAUGCUGGAAUGCACCUAGACUGAAAGCUCCGGCGCCUAAGGAUGAGUCCGCGGACUAUCAGGUAGUAGUCAGGGUAAAGACCUGACUAGCCUACGACGGAUACGGGUUGUGAGAGCAAUAGCCCGGAGACGAUAUCUGAGACACGAUAUCGGGCCCUACGGGGCGCAGCAGGCGCGAAAUCUUCACAAUGUGCGAAAGCACGAUGAGGGGAUCCCAAGCGCUGGUUCGUAAGAAUCAGCUGUUUUUUUGUCUAAAAAACAGAAAGAGUAAGAGCUGGGUAAGACGGGUGCCAGCCGCCGCGGUAAUACCUGCAGCUCAAGUGGUGGCCGCUAUUAUUGGGCCUAAAACGUCCGUAGCCGGUUUAGUAAAUGCUUGGGUAAAUUGUGUAGCUCAACUAUACGAAUUCCGAGUAGACUGCUGAACUUGAGACCGGGAGAAGCUAGAGGUACUCCUAGGGUAGAGGUGAAAUUCUGUAAUCCUAGGGGGACCACCAGUGGCGAAGGCGUCUAGCUAGAACGGGUCUGACGGUGAGGGACGAAGCCCUGGGGCGCAAACCGGAUUAGAUACCCGGGUAGUCCAGGGUGUAAACGCUGCUCGCUUGAUGUUAGUUGGGCUCCGAGCCCAACUAGUGUCGGAGAGAAGUUGUUAAGUGAGCUGCCUGGGAAGUACGGUCGCAAGACUGAAACUUAAAGGAAUUGGCGGGGGAGCAC